UGUACACUUUCCUAUUUUCUGUGAUAUAUUCUGUUUCAUCAUCUUGUGGAAUAUAUAAAAGCAAAAUAGGACAUUGUUGCUUUUGCUAACUCAAGACACUCGAACGAUGCUAUGAAUAAUCCACCACAAGUUAAAUGAAAUUCUUUAGUUUUUCUUUCCAAAAGAAACAGUAUCAGCUUUUGUAUAUGGAGGGGACACAUGUACCAAGAAAUGCUGUACCUAUAAAUUUGGUGUAUAAAUAAUGAUUCUGUAAGUUUGGUGUGAAAGAGUGAAAUAAUAGAAUGGAAUUCCGAGGAAGUGUACAGAAGUACAUUUAAGCAAUUUAAUAUUUGCACACUUACUUGAGAAAAGUUGAGGCUCACCGUAAUCACUGCAAACACUGUUAAACAGAAGUACAUGGGAUCAAACAUGGAUAUUAAAUGCUCGGAUAAUCUUUAAACACAAAUAUAGAUCUAUAUUUUAAUAAUAGAAUUUAAUGAUCGUUUCAUGUAACAACUAUAUUGAUGACUAUUGUUACGAUUUACAUAGUUAUUUUUGUAAUACAUUUGUAGAAAAAUAUCGAAGGUCCUCUCUUUUGAUUAAUGUCCUUUGAGAUGUUUAUUCCUAUCGCAUUUUCGAUGCGAUAACUAUAACAAAUAUGUAUAAUGUUAAAGAAUAAUUUCUUAUUUUUCAUUGUCUGACAAGAAAUAUUUGUUUCGAAUAUGCAAUCAUGAAUGUUCCCAUCGCUAUCCAUGAAAUUUCUCCAAGAAUUAUGGCUGUAUCUAUGUGCAGUAGAAUUAACUGAAAAAAGUU